CCGGCUUCGAUGCUCGCCUGGGGCUGCGGCCGGAGGUGGGCGCGCGGCGGCAGCUGCGGCUUAGAUUCCGGGUUCGUUAUCCGGAGGGACGUGCCCACACCGGGGGAGGGACCCGAGAGGGGUCCCCGGAGGUGCGUGGGUUGCCUUCUGGGCCGCGGCAUCUCCGGGGGCCUCUGAAAAUACCGUCGGGAUAAUACGAGGCAGCACGUCUUGCCACCGCCCUUCUCCCAUGUCGCCGGCCAAAAAUUGAGCAUGAAGACAGAGCAGCUGUUCUGGUCAAUGACAGCGCAGCGCCCGGCUGUGCCGGAGCCUUGGUUCGGGCGGCCAGGGAGGCCCAAGGCCAAGGCGCUCUUGGGGGCACGUUCAGGUGGCGCGGCGGCUCCUCGGGUCCUUCUACGAGCUGGGCCUUGUGGCCCCCGGAAUCUAGGAGUCCAAAAGGUCCUGCUCAGCUGUCCAGACUGCCGUCUCCUGGCGCUGGGCGGUGACAGGCGGCCGGGCUGCGCCGGCAGAGGAGGCUCCGGGCUGGGCGGGAGCUUCGCUCCAGGAGCUGCAGCCCAGCCUUCGCAGGAGGGAUUUUUUUUUUUUUUCUGUCGAGAAGCAGACAACAAGGCCCCGCCUCAUCAGAUAAGAGCGGCUCCUAAGAUUUCACGGGUUUUAAGCAGGGCCCGGAGGCGCUGAGGUCAGGAGAGCCCUGUGAAGGAACACCGCCCCGGGCCCAGCGUGCGCACAAGAAGGGUUUUACUUCACUUUCUUUUGUUUGAUAUUCUAUUAUUUUCUAACAAAGUGACCUGUCAUCUGUAACCUUGGGCCCUGGCAGGCAAAGCCCCUUCCUUGGCACUCGGGUCGGCGCGCAGGGUCCCCGCGUCUGUGCCCAGCCGCGCCCCCCCGCGCGUGCGCGCACGGGGCGCGGUGACUCCGUGGGAGACUCGCCGUCCACCAGGCGAGUGGGGAUGGGUGUGAGGAGGAAGGUGGGUGAGGAGGGUAAUUUUCCUUCUGGAAGUCCAGGGAAAGGAGCUGAG
rnacentral:lncRNA from 1 species